rnacentral:rRNA from 1 species
GACAGAGGCCUCGAGCGUUAGGCGGAAUCACUGGGCUUAAAGCGUGUGUAGGCGGACGCCUAAGUGUCUUGUGAAAUCCCACGGCUCACCCGUGGAACCGCUGGGCAUACUGGGCGUCUUGGGCCAUUCAGGGGCGACUGGAACAAGCGGUGGAGCGGUGAAAUGCGUAGAUAUCGCUUGGAACGCCAACGGUGAAAACAGGUCGCUGGGAAUGUGCCGACGCUGAGACACGAAAGCCAGGGGAGCAAACGGG